UCAACCCCAUCUCGGUUUAAUUCUCAGUCAUCCUCUUCAUCUUACCCCAAUUUCAAGUUAAUCUUUACCACCACUACUACUACUACUCCUCCUGCUGCUGCACAUUCAUCAUUUGCUGCCUCAUCCUCGUCAUCAUCAGGAGUCUCGUGGUUCGCAGACUGCAACGCUCUGGGCUUUGCUCCUGACCCCCUCUCCUGUAACACUUUCUACAGAUGUACCAACAACUAUGCAUACAAGUUUGACUGUCCUGGUGGGCUGUUAUGGCACCAGGACCAGUCUUCUUGUGACUGGCCCGACGCUGUCCAGUGUAUCCUCCCACUCACACCGCCCGACAUCCAACACUUCCUCCCUCCACACAACGCACGGUUUUAAAACUUAAGUCAUUCCCUGUCCUCUGUAGCCAAUAUUAGGGAAUUUUGUUGAUAGUUCAUAUCCUAAUGAUAUUCACUGCUCUAUAUAUUAUACAGUACAAUGAUAUUUGUUUCUCAAACUAUAACUCUCAGCCAAUUAGUAAGUCCUUACAUUAUUUUUAUUAAUUUAAUGGUAAGUGUUACUUGUGCACCUCUUCCUGUAGAAUGAUGCCCUACUCCUGCACCUCUCUUCCUAUUCCAAUGUUCUUUGUUUAAAAGAAUGGCUUCAGUCGUGGCCUUUAUUUUUAUCCUCUUCACCACUGAUCGGCUCGUUAGCCUUUGAAUAUUUCCUUCUUGGUAUUAUUUUAAUGUCAUCUUUUCACUGAUAUUGUUCUUAGAAAAUGUAAAUAUUUUUCAGAUAUUCUGUUGAUUUUCUAUGUUAUUAGUUGUAGACACUCUCUAGAUGCUGUACAGUAAUAAAAGUACUACAGAUCAUUAGUGGUAUUGUUCAUAAUACUGUACUGACAACUGUACUGUACUGUAUAUGUUGAAGAAUACCACUGUCAUGGUUUGUAUGUCAUUGGGUCUAUAUGUCCGUACUCUUGCCUGAAGUCAUAAAUAUUUUAAGCACAAUGACAGCAAGUUCUCUGUUUCAAAUUAAGUUUUGAUGUUCUUCAAGGGAAGGUUUCAGAUAAGACCAUUUGAGCUGUUACUGAUCAUGAGCAAACUUUUGGAAAUGUUGUACUAUAGUGCAGUAUGUUAUGAAAUGAUGGUCUUGUUAAGUCUUAAGACAAAAAGUAGAAAGGUUUUAAUACCUUUUUUAACAGUACACUUGUGUUUUAAAUGUGGGUGAUUGUUGUACUGUACAGUAUUAUUAAUGUCUGGGUAAACAUAAAUACUGUACUUAAAAUACUUGUUAACUUAAUCAUGUAUUAUGACUGUGUGUUUGAUGUUCCUGGCUGCCUUAUUGCCAGAUGACACUAUACUGUAAUAGGUGUUAGUUAGAGCAUUUCGGUGGAUGUUCCUGGUGGUCUUAUGUCUCACAAGACAUGAAAAUAAUAGAACUGUACAAUUGCAAUUAUUUCUGGAUAAGGAAGUCUGAUAUUGCAGCCUGUUUAUUCUUUUUGACAGUCUUAAUUUUAUCAAAGAAAUAAUACACAUCCUCUGGA